CUACGGGGCGCAGCAGUGGGGAAUAUUGGACAAUGGGGGAAACCCUGAUCCAGCAAUGCCGCGUGUGUGAAGAAGGCCUGCGGGUUGUAAAGCACUUUCGGUUGGGAGGACUGCUUCUAGCACUAAUAUUGUUGGAAGUUGACGUUACCUUCAGAAGAAGCACCGGCUAACUCCGUGCCAGCAGCCGCGGUAAAACGGAGGGUGCAAGCGUUAAUCGGAAUUACUGGGCGUAAAGCGCGCGUAGGCGGCUAGAUCAGUCGGGUGCGAAAGCCCCGGGCUUAACCUGGGAACUGCAUCCGAUACUGUCUAGCUUGAGUACAGGAGAGGAGAGUGGAAUUCCACAUGUAGCGGUGAAAUGCGUAGAUAUGUGGAGGAACAUCAAUGGCGAAGGCAGCUCUCUGGCCUGAUACUGACGCUGAGGUGCGAAAGCGUGGGGAGCAAACAGGAUUAGAUACCCCAGUAGUC
rnacentral:rRNA from 1 species